rnacentral:rRNA from 1 species
UGUAAGCGUAUACCAAAGUUGUUGCAGUUAAAACGCUCGUAGUCGGAAUUUGGCAGUUCCGGAUGUGUGCACGUCGUGUGCGCACUUCGCGGGGAUUGCUUUUGUGGUCUUGCGUAGGAUGAGGCACUUUUAUUAGUGAACGUCCUCACGCAACCACUUUUUACUGUGAGAAAAUCAGAGUGCUCAAAGCAGGCAUUUGCCGUGAAUGUAUUAGCAUGGAAUAAUAGAAUAGGACUUGGUUCUAUUUUGUUGGUUUGUUGGGACUGAGUAAUGAUUAAGAGGGACAGUUGGGGGCAUUUGUAUUUCGGUGCUAGAGGUGAAAUUCUUAGAUUACCGAAAGACAAACUGCUGCGAAAGCGUCUGCCAAUGAUGUUUUCAUUGA